GACGAACGCUGGCGGCGUGCUUAACACAUGCAAGUCGAACGGAGAAGCGCCUCCCUCCUUGGUGGGUGUGGAUGAGCGGCGAACGGGUGCGUAACACGUGAGUAACCUGCCUCCUUCUUCUGGUUAACCGCAUGAACGUGUGGCUAAUACGGGCUUUCCUGGGUCUGUCGCAUGAUGGGUUUGGUAUAGAUAUUGUUUCUGUUGGGGACGGGUCCGCGGCGUAUCAGCUUGUUGGCGUGGCGAUGGCCUAGCAGGUCGGGGACGGGUAGCCGGCCUGAGAGAGUCGGCGGGCGCAGGGGGACUGAGACACGGGCAAGACUCCUACGGGAAGCAGCAGAGGGGAGUAAGGCACGAUGGGCGCAAGACUGAUGCAGCGACGCCGCGGGAGGGAUGGAGGCCGGCGGGUUGUGGACCUCUUUCUGCAGUGAAGCAGGCCUGCCUCGUUUGUGGGUGGGUUGACGGUAGCGGGAGAAGAAGCGCCGGCUAACUACGUG
rnacentral:rRNA from 1 species